AAAGCUUGAGUUCCACCCCCGCCUCUACCGAAGAAGAGACGAAAAAUAUGGUUGUUGUUCCGAUUGGGGCUCAUGGACAAAGAUCUUGACUUUUUUACUUUUCUUUAUCAUCACCGUCAUCGUAGUACUCAUCUCCAUCGACCAAACCGGCGUCGACGGCGGUAGAGCUAGGGUUCCAAGAAUUGGGUCUCUAAAUGUUGCAAUGUUGGUUGCUAAAGCGCAUCGUUAGCGGAUUAUCUGCAGAGAUGGAAUAAGAGUUUGGUUCAGGAGUUUUGCUACAAUCUAUGGUUAUAGUUUCUUUGUGAUAUGUACUGGGUUGGGCGUACGGGUCGGCAUGCAUGGGGCGGGGUCGUAUAUGUCAUGGGUUCUUUUUGUGGUGAUAGGAGAUGCUCCGUCGCCCGAUGGAGAACCCUAGAACCCCAUAGAUUGCUGUUCGUGCGGCCCGCAUAGAAGUGUUGAGAGACUGCAUUUCAGCCAAAAGCCUCUUGAACAUGGUGUCAUGCUGGACAAAACGAACGUGGGUUUGUUGUUGGAAUUCGACAUUGAUGAGUUUCGGUUUUCCAUUGGAUCUAGACCACUCUAAUACCAAUGAUGUGGAUCAAUUAGUGUUUGAAAUGGCUAAAGAAAUAAGAUAAGGACUUGAAAGAAGUUUAGAGGGAAGACUUGGAUCAAACUUUCUCAUGCAUCGAGAUGGCCUUUAAAUAGGAAAUACAUGGGACUUGACUCAACUAGCCUACUGGGAUUCAAAGAAUUGUUGCAGCUUUUACAACUGCAAAGAUUCAUGAGAAAAUAGAAAACAACUGGGAUGGGAAGAGAUAAUCAAGAAGGGUGGAUAUAUCAGCUUAUCCGGGAUCAGGUGCGAAUGAUCGUCAUAUGCUAAUGCCUUGACAAGGGAUCUGUUGAGUUUCACAUAACUUUAUAUAACUAAUACCUGGAAAAUAUUGAAUAUGCAACCAUCUAUGUACAUUGUAUCAAACACAUAAUACACUUGGAUUUUCUUUUAUUGUA